rnacentral:rRNA from 1 species
ACGCACGCUGGCGGCGUGCUUAACCCCUGCAAGUCGAACGGUGAAGCUCCAGCUUGCUGGAGUGGAUCAGUGGCGAACGGGUGAGUAACACGUGAGCAACCUGCCCCUGACUCUGGAAUAAGCGCUGGAAACGGCGUCUAAUACUGGAUACGAGAAGGGUCCGCAUGGGCACUUUCUGGAAAGUUUUUCGGUUGGGGAUGGGCUCGCGGCCUAUCAGCUUGUUGGUGAGGUAAUGGCUCACCAAGGCGACGACGGGUAGCCGGCCUGAGAGGGCGACCGGCCACACUGGGACUGAGACACGGCCCAGACUCCUACGGGAGGCAGCAGUGGGGAAUAUUGCACAAUGGGCGAAAGCCUGAUGCAGCGACGCCGCGUGAGGGAUGACGGCCUUCGGGUUGUAAACCUCUUUCAGCAGGGAAGAAGCGAAAGUGACGGUACCUGCAGAAGAAGCACCGGCUAACUACGUG